CGUAUAAAGUACUUGAAAUCAAUGCUUAAGUAAAAGUACAUGUACUGUAUCUUACCAGAAAAUGAUUUUGGUAGAAGUUAAAGUCACCUUUUAGAGCAUCACUUGAGUAAAAGUCUUAAAAAGUAUCUGGUAUUUACUGU